rnacentral:rRNA from 1 species
AUUGAACGCUGGCGGCAUGCUUUACACAUGCAAGUCGAACGGUAACAGGCCGCAAGGUGCUGACGAGUGGCGAACGGGUGAGUAAUGUACCGGAACGUGCCCAGUCGUGGGGGAUAACGCAGCGAAAGCUGCGCUAAUACCGCAUACGAUCUACGGAUGAAAGCGGGGGUCCGUAAGGCCUCGCGCGAUUGGAGCGGCCGAUAUCAGAUUAGGUAGUUGGUGGGGUAAAGGCUCACCAAGCCAACGAUCUGUAGCUGGUCUGAGAGGACGACCAGCCACACUGGGACUGAGACACGGCCCAGACUCCUACGGGAGGCAGCAGUGGGGAAUUUUGGACAAUGGGCGCAAGCCUGAUCCAGCAAUGCCGCGUGCAGGAAGAAGGCCUUCGGGUUGUAAACUGCUUUUGUACGGAACGAAACGGUCCUGGUUAAUACCUGGGGCUAAUGACGGUACCGUAAGAAUAAGCACCGGCUAACUACGUGCCAGCAGCCGCGGUAAUACGUAGGGU